AUGAUUCUGUGGCCAAACUUUGUCUUCUUACUAGCAGUCCUUCGAGGUGAUCAGUCAGAGGCUCAGCUGGUGGAGUCUGGAGGGGAUGUGAGAAGACCUGGAGAGUCCCUCCGUCUCUCCUGCCAAGCCUCUGGAUUCACCUUCAGCAGCUCCUGGAUGUACUGGGUGAGACAGGCUCCAGGGAAAGGCCUGGAAUGGGUUUCCCAUAUACAUCCAAGUUCAUCUAACAUUUACUACUCAGACAAAGUAAAAGGGCACUUCACCAUCUCCAGGGACAAUGCCAAAAGCCAGCUGCAUCUGCAAAUGAACAGCCUCAAAGCUGAAGACACGGCAGUCUAUUACUGUUUGAGAAGCACAGUGAGAGGAAAGCCACCCGACACAAGUGAUGUCAAGCUGGCCGUGCCCAUCCUGGCAACACCCACCUGA